UACUACUACCAUAAAGGCAUAAAGCCCUACAAGAAUAUAUGGAUUGAAGAAAAAAUAUAAAAAUAAAUUAGAUACGAAAAAGCAGAUGCAUCGGGCUAUUUAUUAUUCCUAUAAUUAGGCAUGGCCUAAGGCUAGGCUAGGGCCUAAAAAAUAAAUGACAUACUGUACCCAAGUUAGUAAAUAUUCAUUGACUUUACUUUUUCAGAUUAUUAACGUUCAAUAGUACUCUACCCACUACAAAUGCAAGUUCCGGAAUCAACUCUAUCCAACAGCUUUUUGCAUAUGGACAACAAACACCAGGAGCAAUACCCAUUGUUGUAGGUUUUCAAGAUAAGCUGAUUUGUACUGAUGGGAUGAAGAAAUGGACAAUGAUUUAGUGAAAGAGAUGCUCAAUUCAAAUAUUUUUAGCUACAAAUAUAAUUCGAAGAGCCGAGGUUUGCGAUUAAUCCAUUCGGGGCGACAACAGACUGAAAUUUAUUACCAUGAAUUCUUUUAUGCCCAUUUUACAUAAUUCUUUGCGACUGUACAGGUCUACAAACGGGUAGAACGGUCCCAUUACAAAAUUCUUGAAGCUUAUCUGGAGCAAGUCAUGGCUGUUGGAGAGUUUCCAAAAGAUGGCUACAAUUGUCGUAAAUAAUGAUGUCCACGAUUUUGCACGUUGCCUAAAACAACUCUGUUAUGACCGACCGAAGUUUGGAACCAUGUCUGCAUAUCGACAUGAUACGCAAAACGAUAAAAAAAA
rnacentral:lncRNA from 1 species